GACGAAGGAUGCAAGCGUUAGUCCGGAUUCAUUGGGUUUAAAGGGAGCGUAGGUGGCCUUAUAAGUCAGUGGUGAAAAUCUCUGGGCUUAACCCAGAAAAUUGCCAGUUCGAUACUGUAGGGCUUGAGUAUAGUUGCCGUUGGCGGAAUAUGACAUGUAGUGGUGAAAUACAUAGAGAUGUCAUAGAACACCGAUUGCGAAGGCAGCUAACGAAACUAUAACUGACACUGAGGCUCGAAAGUGCGGGGAGUCAAACAGGA
rnacentral:rRNA from 1 species